rnacentral:rRNA from 1 species
UACGGGGGGAGCAAGCGUUGUUCGGAUUUACUGGGCGUAAAGGGCGCGUAGGCGGCCAGCACAAGUCAGUUGUGAAAUCUCCGAGCUUAACUCGGAAAGGUCAACUGAUACUGUGCGGCUAGAGUGCGGAAGGGGCAACUGGAAUUCUUGGUGUAGCGGUGAAAUGCGUAGAUAUCGAGAGGAACACCUGCGGCGAAGGCGGGUAGCUGGGCCGACACUGACGCUGAUGCGCGAAAGCCAGGGGAGCGAACGGGAUUAGAAACC